rnacentral:tRNA from 1 species
GGUAGUGUGGCUGUGCGAUCUAAGGCGCUGGAUUAAGGCUCCAGUCUAUACGGAGCCGUGUGUUCAAAUCCCACCGCUGCGA